rnacentral:rRNA from 1 species
GACGAACGCUGGCGGCGUGCUUAACACAUGCAAGUCGAACGGAAAGGCCCUGCUUUUGUGGGGUGCUCGAGUGGCGAACGGGUGAGUAACACGUGAGUAACCUGCCCUUGACUUUGGGAUAACUUCAGGAAACUGGGGCUAAUACCGGAUAGGAGCUCCUGCUGCAUGGUGGGGGUUGGAAAGUUUCGGCGGUUGGGGAUGGACUCGCGGCUUAUCAGCUUGUUGGUGGGGUAGUGGCUUACCAAGGCUUUGACGGGUAGCCGGCCUGAGAGGGUGACCGGCGACAUUGGUACUGAGAUAGGGACCAGACUGCUACGGGAGGCAGCGGGGGGGAAUAUUGCACAAUGGGCGGAAGCCUGAUGCAGCAACGCCGCGUGCGGGAUAACGGCUUUCGGGUUGUAAACCGCUUUCGCCUGUGACGAAGCGUGAGUGACGGUAAUGGGUAAAGAAGCACCGGCUAACUACGUG